CUACAAGGAUGAUAUACUAUGUCAGCUAAGCAAAUGGACUAACAUGGAGAAAGCAUCCAGAAUCUCAGGGAACAGGCUGUGUUUGAGAUGAUCUAUGAACAGUCGCCCAUGGACCCAGAUCAGGUCCCUUGCACAAACCUGAUGUGGCAAAAAUUCCUGAAGAGCGCACCAGAAGAGCACGCAAAAGCAUUGGCAAUAGUGUCCUGGUGGACAGACAC